AUUCAUGUUUUAUUUUUGAAUUUGCGGGAGAUUAUUGAUGGAGGACCUCCCGUUCCAAAAGAAAAAAACGUUGUAGAGGACCUCCCCUCGACGCUCGCGCGGCUGGUCGCCAGCCACACGCCCGCACCCCUGCGCCAAACCUAGCCGCCACCGGACGGCCGGAGCUCUUCGGUCGCCACGCCGCCGGAUCGGAAGGAGGAGGCUACGCCGACACGGGCGCACUGCGGCACGCUGGCGAGACUGCCCCCAGCCGCCCACCGCGGGAGGCCAUCCGUCGUCGCCCGUCGCGACGGUCCUCCGCCUCUCGUCGGCUCCUCCCUCUCCCGUCGCCUGUCCAGGAGGCACUCCGCGGAUCCACGCCGACUGCAGCGAGCGCGCGGACUUCCGCCGGACAAGCCUAUUGGUAAUCUUCCAUAUUGUGGAUUUGCCAACAUUGAUCCAAUUGACAUGGAUGCUCCUUAACAAUAUGGGCUGGCAUUGUUUUCAGAUCCACAUGUGCAUCAAGCCGUACUAGUCAUCAAGAAUUCCCCCAAGUCUCCUUGGCAUUCUAUGUGUUGGGAUGCGUCCUGUUGGUAUUGCUAUAAGGAUGGAGAGGGAGGACAGUUCAAAGCUUGUGAGGUUGGUGGGAGGAAUUCCUUUCGCAGGAGAGGGGCAGCCGCAUUGUGCAUUACUACUGGAAGAUGCCACGGGUUAUGGGUACGGAGCGGAGGUUGAGUCACAUGCUCUAGGCGUGUCAAAGGACUUCCAUGGGCUGCAGGGAUGCUGUGGUGUUGAUGGUGGGCACUGGGCAGGUGAUGUUUGCAUGAAAGUUGCAGUUGCGCCGUGAGGUGGUGGAUUGGCUCGAUUCCUUCCUUCCAGCGAAGCCCCUCGCCUCAAGCAUGUCAACAGAGUAUCUCAUGUUGUUGAAGGCAACAGCAAGCGGUGCAAAAGGGAGGACCAUUCCCUUCCUACCACUGUCACCUGGGGCGGCAGAAUUUCUCCUUGACCUCGAGUUGUUGAUGUUCCCUACAAGAGAAGUUUGGCC